UUCUUUAAAUGGGGACUUGUAUCAACGGCNUCACGAGGGUUACACUGUCUCCUUUUUCUAAUCAGUGAAACUAAUCUUCCCGUGAAGAAGCGGGAAUAUCCCCAUAAGACGAGAAGACCCCAUGGAGCUUCAAACCCAAUUACACCCCUAACCCCUAUAACUACUUAACCCUUA
rnacentral:rRNA from 1 species